rnacentral:lncRNA from 1 species
CAUUAUUUGUAUCCAAAUUCGGAAAAAGAAUAAUUUGAAACAUGUGAAAAAGUAGAAUGAAAAUACAGAAGUGAUUUUCAAAUUAAAUCAGAAAAUAAAAGAAAAUCAAUUGGCGGUCCAAGUCAUUUUGCUUAUUCAAAAUUUAAAUCGCCCAAAGUAAAACAUUAUUAAGCCUUUUUUCUUGUCCUUAGAAUCAUUUAAUAAGCUUAGAAAAAUUCGAACUUAAUGUAAAAAAGUGACGAAAUUCACGACUCAAUCUGAACCAAAGAAAGCAGGCUUGCAUUUCCCCUAAAUGCUUAUAAUUGGCCCAAUUUGUAAAAUAAUUUUGAAUGAUCCUUGCAUGUCAGUGUGCCGAACGUGAAAAAUUCCCUUUGUAUUCUACUAAGUAGCACAUAGUAUUCAGCUGUACCAAUUGAGUUUCUCCGGUUCGAUUUUUUUUAUUCUCUUAGAGCUGUGUUUGUUAAUACAUAGUAUUUCAUUGAAUUAUUACAGACAAUACUCUGGCUAUGAAUCGGCUCCAGUUGCAGACCCCUACAACAGUCCAGCUCCUUAUGGAGGUUCUGGCAACUCCUACCAAUCUAAUUACGGAAGCAGUUCUUACGGAGGUUCAGCAUCAUACAGUCAAAAUUCAGGUUACAGUCAGGCAGGUUACAAUUCAGGUUAUGAGUCAGUACCCACAGGAUACGAGUCUGCGCCGAUCUCUGGUGGUGAUUCCAGGUAUCAGUCACAUCAAGGAGGUGCUGCCGCUGUUGAUCCUUAUGCACAGUCAAGCUACAGUAAAUCAUCUGAUGUAUAUGGAGGAUAUAGCAGCGCGUCAUCAGGUUACAAUUAUGAUGAUAGAGGUUAUUCGGCUCCAGCUGCAACUGGAUACGAAUCCUCCUCGUACCCGUCCAAUGGUUCAUCGUCUUACGAAUACUCUGAUGGAUAUGGUUAUCUGUAAAUACCAAAUUUGCACAUCACAAGAAAAUGGAGUGUAGGAAGGAUGCUCCUUUAACUAAUGUUACAGAUGGGUGGAUUUAUUGUGAAGUCUUGACGAAUUAUGGAAUUUCAAGUUAACAUCAAUAUCUGGCAGGCAUUUGUUAAAGAUAAUCUCUAGAUUAUUACGCUCCUCAAAGAUAUUCCUCACUCUUCUCUAAAGUUAAAUUUUUAUCAACUGCAGAUCUCCUAUUAGAUGUAACAAAUUUUCCAUUUUUUCAAUUUGAGACACGAAUUUUUAGGAAAUGCUCUGAAUUCAGUAUAAUUUUUCCUGCUUAGUUAAGAUACAUUUCAAUGUCUAUUUGUACAUAUGAUGAAUUAGUUUUUUACUAUUUUUUUUUAAAUUAUCAUUUUUAUUCUAUUCCCUCUGGUUAAUGGUUCGUAAUAGUUGCAUAGGUUUCCAAAUCAUAGCUGAGCAACAGCUAACCUAUUAGUGCACAUGCAUUUCUCUUAAGUUUAUGACAAUUUUGGUUUACCUUGGUCAAGUUGACAUGAUCAUUAGUUGAAUUUGUAGCAGCAAUUGCUUUACAUUAAUAACAGAAUACUUUCUAUGGCUCUGAACAAAGGUACAGACUUUUUUUUUGAAAAAAAAAAAAAAAAAAAAAAUCAAUGGUGCAGAGUAGAAACUAAAUAUAAUACUGUCAUAUUUUACCUCAAGGAUGAAGAAUUAGAGUGGAGAUCAAUUACAUGGAAAUUUUCUCGUGCUUUUUAAUUCAUCAUCGGUCUGAAAGCUUCAAUGUCAGAGCAUCCUCUAAGACAUUUCUAGUUAAUUAUAUAUUUAUGUGAUGCAUUUUUUAUUUUCUAUCAUUCUAAAGUCAGUCACAUGCAAUUUUAUGAAGAUGAACAAUAAAGAUAAAUAGAUGUAACCUAAAUUGAAGUUUUUCAUUUUUUUUAUCACCUCGCUUACUAGCCCAAAGUCACCUUUGCCCCAAGGCCAGCCUUUGAAUAGCUCUGUCAUCGAAGUUAAGUCAAAUUAUUGUUUAGAUUUAAUAUUGAACUUCAACUAGGUUCAUCAUAUGGAUUUUAUUGAUGCUUCGAAGUAUAAGUACUACCUAUUUUUCAGCAUAACUGUCAGAAUUGAGCAGAGUUAUUAGUCAAGGCAGUGGCCAAAAAGUGACGCUUUAAAUGGUAUAACAGUGUUUCAGCAUGUCAGAAUAAAAAGUCUUUUUUGUCCCCCUAUCAUUAACCUCAGAAGAUCACUCUUUCAAAGAGCAUAUCUUUUCUUUGACAAAGCUUAUAUUGAUGUAUGUCUUUUCUGUCACCUUGCAUACAGUUAGUAAGUUGUAUGCUGCUAAGCUAAAAGAAGGCUUCAGUCAUCUAAAUUUAUGUUAUUGAUAUGUUCAGAGUUCAAAUAUGUCCUCAAAGCUCAGAAUUUCAAAUGAGAGUGUAUCAUUCUUACAAACAGAAUGUAAAACUCAGCUCAAAUUUUGUAAUAACAAUAUUUUUCUCAACUCCAAGAAGUCGAGUUGAUACAAGGCUGAUCAUAGGAACCAUUUACAUAAGGCUAUCUUCAGGAUAAAUCGCAAGGGCAGCAAAAUUUAUGUGUGAUAAUUUUCAAGGAAUUCAAAAUCAACCUUAUUAGGUCUAUUCUUGGGCCCUGGAGCAACCAACUUGUUUGUGAUAAUAUGUAAGACAGUGAAAUUCAACAACAUUAAGGCUGCUCUUGAGUCUUAUGGAAAACUGUGCUAAACUGAAUCUGAAAGCAACAGUUUUACCUUGAAAGAUCCUGCCUCAUCUGAUCAAGUGCAUUUACAAUUUUGGGAAAUAAUGGAAAAUGCAAGAAAAUUGCAUGUGUCAGUAACAGUCAGUAG